GAGCCUAAUCCGGACGAGAUGCCCGCCAUUGGGUCGUGGUGUUCUUUAGCACGCAGACGGACAACAUCAUGGUGACCGCAACAGGAGGACGAUGUUGGCCGCAGUUGGUGGAGGAUGAUGACUGCCCAACGACCAUCAGCAUGCUGGUCGUGGGCACGACGGAUCCUUCCCUGCUCGCCGCCGCCCUGACCGCCUAUUCCUGCCCUGCUCGCCGUCACCAUCGGAGCUCAUUGUCAAGAGGCGGCCGCUCGGCCGCUUGGGAGGAAGAGAAGAGAUGAGGGAUUGGGGAGGAGCGAGGAGGCAGGGAUUGGAGGAGGAGGGACCAAUCCCAAUCUAGGGUUUUCACCGCUCCAUACAAGCGACGACUGAACGAGCGACGCGGCCCAGCGCCCGCCCCUGCCUCUGUCUACCGGUCGCACACGAAAAUGGUCCCAGACAUCAUAGACUGUGAACAAGCUCUCUUUUAUAGGAUUGGAUCCUGGGUUGGUGUUCGCCGUUUGUUGCCAUGGGAUGGGCAGAGGCAUGAAUGCUAAAUUUCCACCACUGUCGGUUGGUCAGGCUAGAGGUCAAGGUCCAGUUUGUCUUUGUUAGGGUCAUGGGCUAGGUCAGAUUGUUUGUCUCCACUUAGGUAUGUUUAUUGACUUAUCCCGCCUAUAUUAUUGCUGUUUUGUUUUGAUUGCCGUUUGGUUAUGCUCGCAGGCUCGUCUCUGCGGUCCUGACUGCCUCCUUGUGUAACGAGGACAGAAUUGUUGCUGGCCAUGUUUGACAUGAUUCCCCUCAUGUUUUUAGCAUUGAUUUAAUGGAUUGGAAAAAUUGUAUGUUGAAAGAGUAAAAUUAAAGUGAUGUGUGGUGGGAGUACAAGGGAGAAGCUCAAUUGAACUAAGAGAGCUGCAUGUAUGCUAUGAUUGUUUUGUUCUUAUGCACCACUUUCCACUUGAA